UUAGAGGGAGGUUUUCCCAAGUUGGCGCAACACGCCCGGCUUCUGCAUGGCACGCGCUGAUCUGCCAGGGUGUCUGCAGCCCAGUGCUGGUCUCUGUGUCUGGGAUGCACAGAGAAGAGGAGGGCAUUAGGAGGUGGGAAUAAAGACGGUGUGGCAGGAGGAGGCCACAGACCCCUAUACAGAGAUGGGCAUGAACCUGCACCUGGAUCCAAACCCACUGGAACCUCAGGGAAAUUCAGAUCUGCAUGCGAACUGGGCAGCUCUGUCUCAUCUCUGGUUUCUGAGACUGCUGAAGUGGGUACCUGGGCUCUUGACAAAAACUCCAUGCACUGAGCCCAGCUCAUGUACUGUGACAGUGUGUGCAUGAGCCCCGAAGUACCCACAGAGUCGGUGCCUAUGCUAGGUGGUACAUUCCAAUAGGGUGAGGUGCAGCACAGACAUAGAACAAAAAGACAGCCCCCGCCCCCAAAGAGCUUGCAAGCUGCGUAUAAGAUAAGCGACAAGAGAUGGAUCCAGAUAGACCGACUGGAGAGUACAAGACAACCCUGAGACACUCCUGGUCAGCAUGACGGGCAGUGAGCUCAGCACGCCUGCAGCCUCGCUGUUGUCAAGUUUUCUCUAGCUGUCACG